CCACUCCUUUAAACUGCGAUCGAUACAGCCAAUACUGUAUAUUCUACUUUAAUUACUUGCUGCACUUGCAGGUGGUAAUAAGAGCACUACACAGCUACGCAUGCAUGUAACUCAAUAUCUCAUCAUGCUGGAUGAUCGAUGGCCAGGUACGUAUGAACGAUGGGUAGUAGCGUUCUCUCGUAUGCUACACUACAAACAGAUGAGGAAUUUGCCUUUGUUUUGUUGGGAGAAGCAGUACGUGCGUGCGUUGUGUGUGUACGUGAAGACAUGCAUCAUCCUAAUCAGCAAAGGCAGAAAAGGGGAUUAAUGGUCCUGGCUCCUAUGGAUGGAUCGAUCGGAAAGGUAAGAGAGGAACAAAGAGGUAAAAGAGGUAAGCAGUUUUUUUUAGCACACGGGUGAAUGUCCACUCGUUACUUGCAUAUCAUCUAAAUAUUUAUCAAAAAAUAUAAAAAAAUUUAAUAAGACAGAUAAAUAUGAGUUAUAUCACUCUAGACACAUGCCAGUUUAAAUUCAACUUUUGAGAGUUACAGCUAAGUUGAAAUGCCAUUGUUGGAUCGCGGUGCCAAUGCCAUGCAUAUAUGUGUAUAUAUGGCUACGUGUUGGGGUCGACAGAUUACAGAUGUGCAGGCCAAACACUGGGGGAGAUUUUGGAUUGGAGAAAGAGAAGACAGCCGGUGGCUAGGCACAAUAAAUUUGCUGUGUGUGCGGAGUACCGGCUCUUCUCACGAGUCAUGAACGAUGAUUGGAGGGAGCGCAUAUAUGGCAAAAUCCAUGGUCCCGGGAUAU
rnacentral:lncRNA from 1 species